CAGCCGCCGCGGUAAUACGUAGGGUGCGAGCGUUAAUCGGAAUUACUGGGCGUAAAGCGUGCGCAGGCGGUUCGUUAAGACAGAUGUGAAAUCCCCGGGCUUAACCUGGGAACUGCAUUUGUGACUGGCGAGCUAGAGUAUGGCAGAGGGGGGUAGAAUUCCGCGUGUAGCAGUGAAAUGCGUAGAGAUGUGGAGGAAUACCGAUGGCGAAGGCAGCCCCCUGGGCCAAUACUGACGCUCAUGCACGAAAGCGUGGGGAGCAAACAGGAUUAGAUACCCGCGUAGUCCCUGUCUCUUAUAC
rnacentral:rRNA from 1 species